ensembl:lncRNA
CCUCUAAGUUGCUGUGACCGCCGGGCUCAGGCUCUCCUCUAAGUUGCUGUGACCGCCGGGCUCAGGCUCUCCUCUAAGUUGCUGUGACCGCUGGGCUCAGGCUCUCCUCUAAGUUGCUGUGACCGCUGGGCUCAGGCUCUCCUCUAAGUUGCUGUGACCGCUGGGCUCAGGCUCUCCUCUAAGUUGCUGUGACCGCCGGGCUCAGGCUCUCCUCUAAGUUGCUGUGACCGCCGGGCUCAGGCUCUCCUCUAAGUUGCUGUGACCGCUGGGCUCAGGCUCUCCUCCACGUUGCUGUGACCGGCGGGCUCAGGCUCUCCUCCACGUUGCUGUGACCGGCGGGCUCAGGCUCUCCUCCACGUUGCUGCCCGGCGGGCUCAGGCUCUCCUCUACGUUGCUGUGACUGCUGGGCUCAGGCUCUCCUCCACGUUGCUGCCCGGCGGGCUCAGGCUCUCCUCUACGUUGCUGUGACUGCUGGGCUCAGGCUCUCCUCCACGUUGCUGUGACCGCUGGGCUCAGGCUCUCCUCCACGUUGCUGUGACUGCUGGGCUCAGGCUCUCCUCCACGUUGCUGUGACCGCUGGGCUCAGGCUCUCCUCCACGUUGCUGUGACCGCUGGGCUCAGGCUCUCCUCCACGUUGCUGUGACUGCUGGGCUCAGGCUCUCCUCCACGUUGCUGUGACCGCUGGGCUCAGGCUCUCCUCCACGUUGCUGUGACCGCUGGGCUCAGGCUCUCCUCCACGUUGCUGUGACCACUGGGCUCAGGCUCUCCUCUACGUUGCUGUGACCGCUGGGCUCAGGCUCUCCUCCACGUUGCUGUGACUGCUGGGCUCAGGCUCUCCUCUACGUUGCUGUGACUGCUGGGCUCAGGCUCUCCUCUAAGUUGCUGUGACCACUGGGCUCAGGCUCUCCUCUACGUUGCUGUGACCACUGGGCUCAGGCUCUCCUCCAUGUUGCUGUGACUGCUGGGCUCAGGCUCUCCUCCACGUUGCUGUGACCACUGGGCUCAGGCUCUCCUCCACGUUGCUG